rnacentral:miRNA from 8 species
CGUAUCAGCCAAUGCAUUCUACA